GCCAAUGGCCUUGGAGGGGGUCUGGCAUGAGAGUCAUGCUGACAGGCUGACCCCAUCAGACUCCGCUGUGAGACACGGGGAGGGACACUACAGUAGGGUGAGACCGAAGCAAAGAGCCACAGAGACAAGGCCGCAGACGCUCAAGGCAGGGGAGUAACAGGAGUGGAGACAGGGAAGAGCUGCGUCACCGUCACGAUGGAGAAACCUCGAUUAUCGGGUCUGAUAAUCCCAGAGAAGGACUCGGGAAACGCCGGUUCCAAGGAAGCAAGAUUCCUGUGGGUGCGGUUCACUGCAGCUGCACCUGGGAGAGACGUGAGCAGCCAUUCCGUGUCUGGAGCAUCUCUGAUCUGGUGGGAUGAAUGGCAGAGCCCUGGCGAAGAGGCAUAGGUUAUGGGUUGUUCUGACGUGUCUGGACAUCACUCCUGUGGCUGUUAAGUCCUCCCCAGCUGUUCCGAUGAACGACUGGCUUCCAGAAAUGCUCCUGCCCUCUGUGCCCACUCACCUGGCCUUGUGGCACAAACACACUGGCAGAGACUGGAUUGCAACUAUGAAUGUGGCC
ensembl:lncRNA